rnacentral:rRNA from 1 species
CACGGGGGGAGCAAGCGUUGUUCGGAAUCACUGGGCGUAAAGGGCGUGUAGGCGGUUCGGUAAGUGAGAUGUGAAAUCCUCCGGCUCACCCGGAGACCUGCAUCUCAAACUGCCGGACUAGAGUAUGGGAGAGGACAAGGGAAUUCCUGGUGUAGCGGUGAAAUGCGUAGAUAUCAGGAGGAACACCGAUGGCGAAGGCAGCUCGCUGGGACGGUACUGACGCUGAGACGCGAAAGCGUGGGGAGCAAACAGG